GUCUUCUUCUCCGGCGAUGUGGAGAUGACACGAGACCAGCGUUUGUUGUGUGGACAGAAUUCAGCAAGGCAUGCAGCCUUUGGACUUGACGAAUUUCGGAGAAAUUUUACGAAGAUUGAGGCCGUGUUUAGUUCCAAAGCUCGACAACCUUUGGGGAAGACGACACUUGCGAGAACAAGGAUUGGCACGUCGGUGCUGGGAGAAAGGCGACAACCGUUGGGGAAGAUGUCGCUUGCGAGAACAAGGCCGGAUUGCCGCGUCGGUGCUGGGAGAAAGGCAUGAGCAAUUGAGGAAGAUGACGCUUGCGAGAAUAAGGAGAAAAAGAGGAAGAUGAUGGUAGCAGAGGCAACAUCGCCCUCGUCCCUUGAUCCUCCAAAUCUGGGUAUCCUCAUUGGGCCCUUCUUCAUCCCUCUCUCUUUCUCCUGGAUGUGGUCGAGCUCGAGGUCGUGGUCGUUGCUACCGUGGAUGGCGUGGACGUGUUCGACCUCGACGCUCACCGGCUGGUUGAUGCGUCCACACUCGCGGACCAUCACAGCUGGUACGGCUCGACGCCCUUCGCUUGAUCCGUUGAGUGAGUGGAUCUUGCUCGUUGGAAAUAGCUUCCGUGGAUCCGGAAAAUACUGUUGUAGAUGUCUUCCUCGUCGCCGGUUUACGACAGCUAACAUCGGCUCGCUGUUUAUAUUUUUUGGAAAAAAAAACUUUCAAAUAUUACUAUAGUAUAGUUGCAGUGUAA